AUUACUUAGAGGCUGAAUUCAGCUGGGUGGCUGAAGGAGGAGAAUACAUUGACAAUGACUUAUUUUUCUACCCUGUCCAUAGAGAAGGGGAAAAGAAAACAGGAAGUUUCUGUCUAUUAUAUGCGGCUUGAGGGUAACAGUAAAAACUGCAAUAUUUUGAAGCCCCCUGAGGAAGGAACGAAACAGUGGCUGUAGGGGUUCAGUGACGUACUGGCAAAUAACCAUGGGACAAGACCUAUAAAAUACCCUCCUACAGGUCUACUAAUGAAUCCAUUGGUGUAAAAGAGCCUGAGGCAACAAAGGGGGAUGAGGCUCCCCAACAAGAGCUAAACAGAAACUUAAUAGACAGCGUGCUAUUUGCAUAGAUUUAUUGCAAUGGGAAGGAACAUACACAACAUGUCUCUUGGCAAACAUGCUUUACAUCUCAAAUUAGCAAGUCAAAAGAUCUGCUUCUGUGCGAGCACCAUAUAAUGACAAAUAAACGCUGGCACCCGAUCAAUAAGUCAAUGCUGCAAUCUGUAAUAGGAUUAAAAUAGAAGUGCAGUAUCAAACAUUACAAUGUGAUAUUUUUUAAGAAUGCAAAAAAAAAAACCUUCA